rnacentral:rRNA from 1 species
AUUUAAUUUGUAUAUCGUUGUCAUUAGAAUAUUUUAUAAGAAAUAAUAAUUUUCUUUAAUUUAAGAUAAAAUUUUAUGUCAAAUCAAGGUGCAGUUUAUAUUUAAGUAGAAAUGAAUUACAAUAAUAUUUAAUUAAAUGAAUAUAUGAUUUAAAUAACAUAUUGAAGGUGGAUUUGAUAGUAAAUUUAUAAAUUUUAUUAAGUUGAUUAUAGCUCUAAAAUAUGCACACAUCGCCCGUCGCUCUCAUUAAAAUAUCGCCCGUCGCUCUCAUUACAUCGCCCGUCGCUCUCAUUACAUCGCC